UGGUGCUUAUCUUGGAUUGACUGGAAGUAGGAUAUCAACACCUGCUGAUGCUCUCUAUGUUGGUCUGGGAACUCAUUAUGUCCCUUCUGCAAAUUUGGGCACAUUGAAGGAAGCUUUGCUUGCCACUAAAUUCUCCGAGGAUCCAGAUGAGGAGAUAAAACAACUGUUGACGAAAUACAGCAGCAACCCUAAUUCAGAACCCCGUUUGAAGUCACUUUUACCCAGAAUAAUUUCUACUUUUGCUGGUGACAAGUCCAUUAGGGAGAUACUAGAAGAGCUAGAACAUCAUCAGCAAAGCACUGAUACAUUGGUGGCAGAAUGGGCAAGGGAUGCUCUGCAAGGGAUUAGUAAGGGGGCCCCUUUUUCUCUCCGUCUCACCCAAAAGCUCUUCUCUAAGGUAGCAUCUGCACGUGGCGAAACUGACAACGACUUGUCCAGGCUCACUGGUGUCAUGAGAACUGAAUAUCGCAUUGCUUUAAGGUCCGCUCUACGGAGCGACUUUGCUGAAGGUGUCCGAGCAGUCUUAGUGGACAA
rnacentral:misc_RNA from 1 species